UCUAAUUACAAUACCAAACAAUGGCAUAAUAUAAACAUGUUAGCUGGUAAUCUCAGAAUCAGAACCUUAGAUUUACAUGUUCAGAGUGUAUUAAUGAUCCGACCGAAUUCAUAACAAAAUUCUACUCAGAAAGGAGGCGGCUAUUAAUAUUUAAUAUAAAUUAAUCUAUUUCUAAUUUUUUAUUUUGAUUGAAUUGAAGCUUCACUAAGAAAAAAAGGAUUUAUAAUUUUAUUAAAGGAGAAAAAAAACGGAACAGUUUUAAGGAUUUCCUAUAAUAAAUAGAGCUAAUCUGGAGAAGGUGAUCUAAAGUUAAUUUUGAGUUAUGCACGCUCAACUUGUCCCUCGAGUAGUAUUCUUUUCGAAUUUCUAUGGAAAGAAGAUAAAUCCGAGAAUUUUAAGAAUUACUUAAAAUAUAAGUUUUCUUACAUGCAGUACAAUUAACAACUAAAUGAUUUUUAAUAAAUUUUACAUUUUGAUUGUAUUAAAAAUAUGGAAAAUAAAAUAAAAUAUUCUUUAAUAUAAAAUCAA